UACGAAGGGGGCUAGCGUUGCUCGGAAUUACUGGGCGUAAAGGGCGCGUAGGCGGACAGUUAAGUCAGAGGUGAAAUCCCGAGGCUUAACCUCGGAACUGCCUUUGAUACUGGUGAUCUGGAGAUCGGGAGAGGUUGGUGGAAUUCCGAGUGUAGAGGUGAAAUUCGUAGAUAUUCGGAGGAACACCAGAAGCGAAGGCGGCCAACUGGCCCGAUACUGACGCUGAGGCGCGAAAGCGUGGGGAGCAAACAGG
rnacentral:rRNA from 1 species